UAUACUUGCAAAUUAAAUGGCAUAUUGCAACCCCCGCCCAUCCCACUCUUGUUCAAACUCCAGCCAAUCCCGAGGCCCUGAGUUGAAAACGGCAGUUUGAAUUCACCGACACAGCCACUUUCGCGUAUAACCAAGAAAGAGAGCUUUUGCUUGGGCUAUUCUUAGGUUUAGCGUGAAGAGGGAGAGUGGAGAAAAAAAUAUCGAGAAAGGAGAGCUACGACCGAACUUACAUGUGUGUGUGUGUGUGUGUGUGUGUGUUUUUUUUCUAUUUGCUGGAAACUGAUAACUCUGCGACGCGAUGUCUUCCUCGCGUUGAAAUCUAUUUGGAAGAGCCCGAAUUGAGGAACUGUUCUGAAUAUAUUUUUCAAACAAUCGAGCGUUAUUAUAAACAACAUCGAAAGGAAAUCCAAGACAUGCGCGGUUUCAAACGGAUCCUCGUUCGGGAAAGAGGUUUGCGAACUGGCUUAGAUACGAAAACUCACACUGUUCUUCGGGUCCAGUCAGAACCUACGGAUUCGAGAAGUGUCUUGAUGCUUUGCGCCACGUGGUAGCUGGAAAACGGAGCUUGAACAAACGGGCCCAAAUAUCAGUGACUAUCGCAUUUUCCAGUCGAAACGAAUGGGAAUUUCGGUACAAGGAAUGCGAGGAAGAAUCGAGACGAUGCCAGCAGAUCUCGAGAACUCGUAAAUAUUCGUAGAUCGUAAAUGGUGAAAUGGCGAUAAAUUGACGACGUUGAAGCUUGCAACGCUGGAGUCCAACGAAAUUGAGGAAAAAAACAUUUGUAAUUCAGCAACUUUUUUAUUUUAAUAAAUCAUUGGUGUAAGUUGAAAAACUACGGAAUUGCAAAUUCGAUGUGGAAGAAAAUUGUAGAAUUACUGGAAUUGUUGGAGAGUUUUUUAGAUCAUUCCGUUGGACUCCAACUUUGCAAACUUCAUAUAAAUUGUGAGCUAAAUGAAAAAGAUUUAUCACAAGUUGAUUUGAUCUAGAAACUCAUAAUGCCCAAGGAAAGAAAAGGUUGUAAAUUUCGUUUGUCCAUUCUUCAUAAUUCUGGACCGAUGACAAGCUUUGCUCCUUCAGCGAGAGACUCUUUCUCAAUGUUGGCUACCUGCUCGCAGUGAUUGCAGCGGGUUUUCUCUGCAUGCUUGAUUUCAUUAUGUAAUGAGCAUGCGAUUAAAAUCAUUCGGAAAAUACUUUUAUAGGAAUCAUGAAAAACUUUAAUCUGAUAUUAAAUUUUAAUUCAAGGGCUCCGAUCAAUGACUCGGUGAGACUAAAUCUCAUGGGCUGAUUGCGAACGAUGGAAACUUUAUAUUCACAGACACAAACAAAUCGCCACUCCGCAUAUGCAUCACCACUGUACUCGGGUUUUUUGCAACUCGCGUAUUUCAUCAUUGUUAUUAGUUGUGCACAAGAUACGCCAACGAGAUUUUCGGGCAAAAUGACAAAAAACGUGAUAAACUCGAAAUGCUCGAGUGAAACUUCUUGGCAGUCGAAUGAUUUUUCUCCAAUUCGCGGUGGAGAAAACUUUCUCGUCGUGUGCGAGUCUAUAAUGAGCAAUUUUCAGAGGCACGUGAUCCAAACGUGCCAGGUAUCCAGACGACUCGAAGCAAAUUUCUUAUGCGAAGAAAAGGAAAUUCACAAGCAGCGAAAAAUUGGAGAUUCCAACGAAUUUUACGUCCCUUUUCGUCUUCAUGUUCGGAGGUCUUCACCGGAGGAUACAAAAAUUCGAGAUAAAAAGUGUUGGGAAUAUCGCACCCCGGAGGGGUCAAAAACGAGUGAGCCUGAGGAGGGUCGAUUUCCAAUUUUUGCGAUUUUAGGAAGAUGGAACGAAAGUGCAAAUAUGAGUACUCGACACAAGUGAGAACAGUUGACAGCGUUUUUUCAUGUAACUUCUUGAUCGUGAGGAAAUAACUGCGUGAUUCUUAGUAAAUGUUUCGUAGAAACGAGGAAGCUGUUCUCAGAUGAUAGUUUUGGGGGCGAAAGUUUGAAUUUUUUCAGCUAAUUUGAUGGGAAAUUGUUACGUGGAUGAGUUACGAAGAACUUGGGAUUCGUCCUCAAAACGAAGUUAAAUAUCCGGGGAAUAGUCUCACAAUGCGCAGUUACGUUCCUUUUGGAAAGCUUCCAAAAUAUGACUUACGAAUUUUUCUCGUUUUUGCUUUCUUCAAUAAACAUGAUGCGAGGUUGUCGGUUGAAUAAAUAUAGAACAAGUAUUUUAGCGAGAAUUCCCAUCGAGUUUCGUAAAUAAAAAUGAGGAAAUGAGAGCUUCGUUGGAAGGGCAAAUUGUGCGAAAAGUAAAUGAAAAAAUAAAGUUGUUUUUUCGUAAA